UACGAAGGGGGCUAGCGUUGCUCGGAAUGACUGGGCGUAAAGGGCGCGUAGGCGGCUUUGACAGUCAGAUGUGAAAUUCCUGGGCUCAACCUAGGGGCUGCAUUUGAUACGUUGAGGCUUGAGUGGGGAAGAGGGUCGUGGAAUUCCCAGUGUAGAGGUGAAAUUCGUAGAUAUUGGGAAGAACACCGGUGGCGAAGGCGGCGACCUGGUCCUUGACUGACGCUGAGGCGCGAAAGCGUGGGGAGCAAACAGG
rnacentral:rRNA from 1 species